GUUGGGUAGGGGAGCGUUCUGUAAGCCUGCGAAGGUGUACUGUGAGGUAUGCUGGAGGUAUCAGAAGUGCGAAUGCUGACAUAAGUAACGAUAAUGCGGGUGAAAAACCCGCACGCCGGAAGACCAAGGGUUCCUGUCCAACGUUAAUCGGGGCAGGGUGAGUCGACCCCUAAGGCGAGGCUGAAAAGCGUAGUCGAUGGGAAACGGGUUAAUAUUCCCGUACUGGUGGUAACUGCGAUGGGGGAACGGAGAAGGCUAGGUUGUCCGGGCGACGGUCGUCCCGGUUCAAGCAGGUAGGCAGAGUGAUUAGGCAAAUCCGGUCACUUAAUGCUGAGAUGUGAUGACGAACCACUAAGGUGGUGAAGCAAUUGAUGCCCCGCUUCCAGGAAAAGCCUCUAAGCUUCAGGUUACCAACAAUCGUACCCCAAACCGACACAGGUGGUCAGGUAGAGAAUACUCAGGCGCUUGAGAGAACUCGGGUGAAGGAACUAGGCAAAAUGGUGCCGUAACUUCGGGAGAAGGCACGCUGGCGGUAGGUAAAGUCCCUUGCGGACGGCGC
rnacentral:rRNA from 1 species